AUAACAAUUUCACAUGACACUGCACAAAACCUUCCGUUAAAGUAGUCACAAAGAAGCAUUAAUGUACAUCUUUUUACUUUGGGGAUUUCAGUGACGAUGCAUUUCUGAUAUCACUAUAUUUGCUCAAUUGUGUGUGAUAAUCAUUUGCGCGAUUACUCGCCAUUGCUGCUUCGUUUGCGGGAUGCUUUAAAUGCUCUUUAAGCUUUCUUUAAUGCCGAAAUUAGUCCGAGUGUGAUAAACUCCCUAGUUACGCUUACACAAAGGGGGAGGAUUCGAAUGCCCAACUGAGCCCUGGUGAAGAAAGGUCGUAGCAUUUUCUCCCCAACCCCUUGAAGACUCAAAUCUUUUCCACACCACACAAUAGUAGCACUUUGACUGCACUUUAACUGCUAUGGCAACAUCCUACAGAAUCCCAGGAUUUCAAAGUCUCUGACUGAGAAUUCUGAAAACAUCUCCCUAAAGUGCAAAUUUAGGUAAAGAAUUUUCAAACAUUAUCUCAGGAAUCCUUGCAACAACACUGUAGGGAAAAUCAGCAUUAUUAUCCCAUUAUGAUGAGGGUUGCAUCUGCAAGGCAGAAAUAAUGCAGUUUGACACUGCUUUAACUACCGUGGUUUAAUGCUGUGGAAAUCUGGGAUUUGUAGUUUGGCAAGCCAUUUAGCCUUCUCUGUCUCUGCUGCAAAACCAGAGUUGUAGUUUAUGGAGAUAUUUCAAAAUCUCUGCCUGAGAAUUGUGAAUACUUUCCCCUAAAACUGCAGAUUUAAGUCAAACCUUACCUCAGGAAUCCUUGCAACAACACUAUAGGAUAGAUGAGUAUUAUUAUCCCAGUAUGGUUAGGAGGCUAAGCUGAAGAAAGAGGACCUCAUUUGGAGCCUUCUAGUGAGGUUAAAGUGGUAUGAAAGUGCUUCACUGAAGAGACUGGGGCAUGUGUAGAUGGGCCAUUUAAACCAGUUUCUUUCGCAUUGCCCUGUCUUCACAAGGCAGAGCUGUCUUCACGUGGGAAAGAUAGUUCUGCAAUGAAGCUGGGCCAUUCCUUCCCUAAACCGAAUUUUAAAAACUGAUGACUCCCAGGAAAAUCUAGAGCACUCUGAGUGACACCAGGUGGCUAUUUCCACAGCAUCCCCCUGUACUGCCCACUGCCACCAGUGCCGGUGGCAUGGUUCAGUUCCUCCAAGAUCACAACAUAGUGGCAGCCAUGUCUUUGAUGGUGGGCACCUCAUUUUUGACCUCAAAGGGAGCCAUUUGUGUUGCUGCUGGUGGUGACAUAGUGGAACGCAUGUGUCAUCCACCACCUGGUGUCGCUUUGGAGUAUGGAGGUAAUGGGGGAAUCUGGGGACAGAAUACUCUGGCCAAAGUAUUCUGGCCAGUGUAGACCCACCCAAAACCUGUUCUUCUGGAGCCACAUCAAAACUCUCUCUUCUGCUCUUUUGCUUCCAGGUUCUUCUCAUCUUGACAGCACUGCAGGCUUCCAUCUUCAGCAUUUUGGGCAACGGUGGGCAGAUUGCCUGUGCCCCACCUUUCUCCUCCAGAGCGCGGUCCCAGCAGAUGCACUACCAGCUCCUGAUUUUAGAGACCUUCAUCCUGACCGUCCUGACCAGGAUGUAUUACCGGAAAUCUGAUGACCAGGCAGGCUGCUGUCCAGCUGGAUCUCCAGAGAGCAAAACAGAGACCAAUAGUCAUUAAGCUGAACAUGGAAGGAUGGAAGAGAGCUGGCUGUCAGAGUCACAGAACUAUUCAUGUAGGCUUUUUCAUUUUCGUUUUUUUUUACUUUUGGAUAUCCCAAUUGGAAUAACCAGAUGCUUUUUGGAGGAAACUGGUUGCACCGUGCUAAGGGAAGGGGGAGCCAAAAAACACAAGAAGCAGUUUGAUGCUGCUUUGUGACCAGUAUAUUCCGUGGACAUACAAAGCCAUCCAUGACUGUGCAUGUGAUGUUCUUCUGGAUGACUGCAAACCUUGUGUAGCUUAUUAAAAGUGCUCAAGGGUUAUAUCAUUUCAUGCUGUAGGUCUUAUUACAUGGAACUAAUAGGAGUUUCUUGAGAUUCACUGUACUCUGGUUUGGAGCCUUGCAUUGAAUAGAGGCAGGUCCAGAUCUUAAAAGAAAGUUAAUGGUGAAGGAGGCUUUAUUGCACUUGUCUUACUGCCUUUGUUUGCAGUCCCCUCUUGCAUCAACCCUCCCUUGAGACCACUUUUUAAAAACCUUAAGCAAACAGCUCAAGCAAGAUGCAGACCUGUGACAUCAACCCCAUCAUUUUGUUACCCUUGCAUGCUUUUUUAACCAUCUCUGCAUGAUGAAGAUGCCAGUGGGAUUCAAAAGCUACCAUAAUGUUGUUGUUGUUUUACAGCUUCUGGCUGACCUAAUAAAGAGAUCACCACAAUGUG